rnacentral:rRNA from 1 species
ACGGAGGCCUCGAGCGUUGUUCGGAAUCACUGGGCUUAAAGCGCGUGUAGGCGGAACGGUAAGUACCUUGUGAAAUCCCCGGCUUCAAUCCGGGAACUGCUCGGUAUACUGCUGUUCUUGAGGCAGGUAGGGGUCACUGGAACCUUAGGUGGAGCGGUGAAAUGCGUAGAUAUCUAAGGGAACGCCUGUGGCGAAAGCGGGUGACUGGGCCUGUCCUGACGCUGAGACGCGAAAGCGUAGGGAGCAAACGGGAUUAGAUACCCCGGUAGUCUACGCCGUAAACGAUGCGCACUAGGUUCGAGUAGUACUGACACUUCUCGUGCCGAAACAAAAGCGUUAAGUGCGCCGCCUGGGGAGUACGGCCGCAAGGCUA